UCUCACAGUGAAAUGUGCUAUGCUUACUUUGACUACUUCAUUGUCGGGAAUACAGAUCACUUCGUGUCACUAUGUUUAAUUCUUUUUCUUUCGCACACCCGUUGCAUUUCGAACGUCAGUGCUGCUUUUAUAUGAUUAUGCAACUUUAAGUGUGUCAAACAGAAUAUUCUAAAUGCAACUUCCUGCACCAAGAGUAAAUCAGUCCGACCUGCCGUAACGCAGAUUUAUUACCCACCCUUACACCAUAAAGCCAGCUUUGUGAUAAUGAAUGCUGCAUUAAUUAAUUCAUGACACAUCUUUCGCAGUGGCGACAGCUCAGGGCUGGUUGAAUUCUUUUCUACAGAGUAAAAUAAUUUCCAGAGUGGGGCCUAAAAAAAAAGACAGUUCACUGGCUGCGGAAAACACUGCAUAAAAAAUUAACUUUUGAAAUUAAAUAAAUGUGAAAUUGUUGAGCUAAGCAUUUCAGUCACUUGACAUGACAAUAUAAAAUUUUUCUGAUGUCUGAUACAGCUAAUUUCACACCUAAAUUCUGUGUCAUCUUUCUUUUUAGCAUUACUCCUGUUUAGUGACUAGCAGAAAGGAUGCAACAUUCCAAUUGAGCUUAGCUGCCCCUUUUGGAUGGUCAUUAAACGCACGAAAGGGGGCCUGUUUGAAAGAGAGCGGCAUAGUGUCCACAGCACAGUGACCACUACAAGCACCUACGUUGACUGGGACGCAGCUACCUUUGCCAGAAAGAAAGUGAAACUCCAAGGAACAAAAAAAAAAGUUGCAUAGCCAGAAUGCACAUUAAAAUCAUAGAAAUGUUCCCAAACUUCAAGGUGGAGCUUCCAGCUGAUUGUUCAACACACAAAAAGAAGGAGGCUUCAAAGGCUGCUCUUUAGAAGACUGGACAGUGCACUUUCAACAGAUAAUGAGUGCGCUGCUGCUGUGGCCCGAGGAUAUACAUUAGAUUAUGUGCAAAAGAUGGCCACACUGGACACGAUUUUGGCAUAGCAUUGAGCUAUGCACAGCCAAUGAACACGGAUGUAUCUGCAAAGAUAAACCUACUCGUCCAGCAGCGCAUCACAUCAGUCAGCAAGGUUCAAAAAUGGAUUCGUUUUUAUGAUGAUGUUUUUUCUGCCGACAAACCAAAACCACAAGUUAAUUGUAGUAUCAUAAGAAGCAAACAAACACUGACAUCAAGGACAACAUAGGAGAAAUUACUUGUGCAUAAUAAAUGAAAUAAAGAAACGGUAAAUUAAUGAAAAUGAAAGUGGAUGAAAGAUGAAAUAACAACUUGCCGCAGGUGGGGAACGAUCCCGCAACCUUCGCAUUUCAUAGCACUGGGACAUUG
rnacentral:lncRNA from 1 species